AUACUUACCUGGCAGAGGCGAUACCAUGAUCACAAAGGUGGUUCACCCAGGGCGAGGCUCUGCCAUUGCACUUCAGUGGUGCUGGCCCUUGCAAAUUCCCCCAAAUGCGAGAAUCUCGACUGCGUAUUUUCUGGUAGUGGGGGACUGCAUUCGCGCUCUACCCUG
ensembl:snRNA U1 U1 spliceosomal RNA